AGAUUGAACGCUGGCGGCAUGCCUAACACAUGCAAGUCGAACGAGACCGUUCGGGUCUAGUGGCGCACGGGUGCGUAACACGUGGGAAUUUGCCUCGGGGUAUGGAAUAACUCAGGGAAACUUGAGCUAAUACCAUAUAAUGUCUUCGGACCAAAGAUUUAUCGCCCUGAGAUAAGCCCGCGUAGGAUUAGCUAGUUGGUGGGGUAAAGGCUCACCAAGGCGACAAUCCUUAGCUGGUCUGAGAGGAUGAUCAGCCACACUGGGACUGAGACACGGCCCAGACUCCUACGGGAGGCAGCAGUGGGGAAUAUUGGACAAUGGGCGAAAGCCUGAUCCAGCAAUGCCGCGUGAGUGAUGAAGGCCUUAGGGUUGUAAAGCUCUUUUACCCGAGAUGAUAAUGACAGUAUCGGGAGAAUAAGCUCCGGCUAACUCCGUG
rnacentral:rRNA from 1 species